AUACGGAGGGUGCAAGCGUUAUCCGGAAUCAUUGGGUUUAAAGGGUCCGUAGGCGGUCUAUUAAGUCAGAGGUGAAAUCCCACAGCUCAACUGUGGAACUGCCUUUGAUACUGGUAGACUCGAGUUACAGUGAAGUAGAUAGAAUGUGUAGUGUAGCGGUGAAAUGCAUAGAGAUUACACAGAAUACCGAUUGCGAAGGCAGUCUACUAACUGUAUACUGACGCUGAUGGACGAAAGCGUGGGGAGCGAACAGGAUUAGAAACCCCGGUAGUCC
rnacentral:rRNA from 1 species